UACAGAGGGGGCAAGCGUUGUUCGGAAUCAUUGGGCUUAAAGGGCGCGUAGGCGGCGGCGCAAGUGUCGUGUGAAAUCCCAUCGCUCAACGAUGGAACGGCUCGGCAAACUGCGUCGCUUGAGGUCGGUAGAGGUGCUCGGAACUCUAGGUGGAGCGGUGAAAUGCGUAGAUAUCUAGAGGAACGCCUGAGGCGAAAGCGGGGCACUGGGCCGAUACUGACGCUGAGACGCGAAAGCGUGGGGAGCAAACAGG
rnacentral:rRNA from 1 species